GAUUGAACGCUGGCGGCAGGCCUAACACAUGCAAGUCGAACGGUAACAGGAAGMAGCUUGCUKCUUYGCUGACGAGUGGCGGACGGGUGAGUAAUGUCUGGGAAACUGCCUGAUGGAGGGGGAUAACUACUGGAAACGGUAGCUAAUACCGCAUAACGUCGCAAGACCAAAGAGGGGGACCUUCGGGCCUCUUGCCAUCGGAUGUGCCCAGAUGGGAUUAGCUAGUAGGUGGGGUAACGGCUCACCUAGGCGACGAUCCCUAGCUGGUCUGAGAGGAUGACCAGCCACACUGGAACUGAGACACGGUCCAGACUCCUACGGGAGGCAGCAGUGGGGAAUAUUGCACAAUGGGCGCAAGCCUGAUGCAGCCAUGCCGCGUGUAUGAAGAAGGCCUUCGGGUUGUAAAGUACUUUCAGCGGGGAGGAAGGGAGUAAAGUUAAUACCUUUGCUCAUUGACGUUACCCGCAGAAGAAGCACCGGCUAACUCCGUGCCAGCAGCCGCGGUAAUACGGAGGGUGCAAGCGUUAAUCGGAAUUACUGGGCGUAAAGCGCACGCAGGCGGUUUGUUAAGUCAGAUGUGAAAUCCCCGGGCUCAACCUGGGAACUGCAUCUGAUACUGGCAAGCUUGAGUCUCGUAGAGGGGGGUAGAAUUCCAGGUGUAGCGGUGAAAUGCGUAGAGAUCUGGAGGAAUACCGGUGGCGAAGGCGGCCCCCUGGAC
rnacentral:rRNA from 1 species